rnacentral:tRNA from 1 species
GGGGUAAUUUUGGGGUAAAAGUUUUAGAUGAUCGCUGAAAAGCCUGUUAAAUCAGGAUUUUCCUCAGAUUCCGGUUCUGAGGGUCGGGGGUUCGAGUCCCUCCAUGCUCG